AGUCGAGCGAAUCGAUGGGAGCUUGCUCCCUGAGAUUAGCGGCGGACGGGUGAGUAACACGUGGGCAACCUGCCUAUAAGACUGGGAUAACUUCGGGAAACCGGAGCUAAUACCGGAUACGUUCUUUUCUCGCAUGAGAGAAGAUGGAAAGACGGUUUACGCUGUCACUUAUAGAUGGGCCCGCGGCGCAUUAGCUAGUUGGUGAGGUAAUGGCUCACCAAGGCGACGAUGCGUAGCCGACCUGAGAGGGUGAUCGGCCACACUGGGACUGAGACACGGCCCAGACUCCUACGGGAGGCAGCAGUAGGGAAUCUUCCGCAAUGGACGAAAGUCUGACGGAGCAACGCCGCGUGAACGAAGAAGGCCUUCGGGUCGUAAAGUUCUGUUGUUAGGGAAGAACAAGUACCAGAGUAACUGCUGGUACCUUGACGGUACCUAACCAGAAAGCCACGGCUAACUACGUGCCAGCAGCCGCGGUAAUACGUAGGUGGCAAGCGUUGUCCGGAAUUAUUGGGCGUAAAGCGCGCGCAGGUGGUUCCUUAAGUCUGAUGUGAAAGCCCACGGCUCAACCGUGGAGGGUCAUUGGAAACUGGGGAACUUGAGUGCAGAAGAGGAAAGUGGAAUUCCAAGU
rnacentral:rRNA from 1 species